rnacentral:rRNA from 1 species
UACGUAGGGUGCAAGCGUUGUCCGGAUUUAUUGGGCGUAAAGAGCGUGUAGGCGGCUUUGCAAGUCCGUUGUGAAAACUCGAGGCUCAACCUCGAGACGCCGGUGGAAACUGCAAAGCUAGAGUCCGGAAGAGGAGAGUGGAAUUCCUGGUGUAGCGGUGAAAUGCGCAGAUAUCAGGAAGAACACCAAUGGCGAAAGCAGCUCUCUGGGACGGUACUGACGCUGAGACGCGAAAGCGUGGGGAGCGAACAGG